rnacentral:ncRNA from 1 species
UCUUCGGGGACGGUGCGAUUCCGUACCGGCGGUAAAAGCCCGCGAGCCGAAAGGCUGAUCCGGUGAAAAUCCGGAGCCGACAGUAAAGUCUGGAUGGAAGAGAU